rfam:Picea glauca, whole genome shotgun sequence.
CAAUGCAAUAUCACUACCGUUAAUGCAUCGGAUCCCAUCAUAAUUUCGCAGUUAAGUGUGAUUGGGCUAGAAUAGUAUUGGGAUGCGAGAUUUCUCGAAAAAUCCUGGUAUUGCACAUU